AUUGAACGCUGGCGGCAGGCCUAACACAUGCAAGUCGAGCGGAGCGGCGGACGGGUGAGUAAUGCCUAGGAAUCUGCCUGGUAGUGGGGGAUAACGUCCGGAAACGGGCGCUAAUACCGCAUACUAUCAGAUGAGCCUAGGUCGGAUUAGCUAGUUGGUGGGGUAAAGGCCUACCAAGGCGACGAUCCGUAACUGGUCUGAGAGGAUGAUCAGUCAAACUGGAACUGAGACACGGGCCAGACUCCGCCGGGAGGGCACAGUGGGGAAAAUUGGAAAAUGGGCGAAAGCCUGAUCCAGCCAUGCCGGGGGGGUUAAGAAGGUUUUCGGAUUGUAAAGCACUUUAAGUUGGGAGGCGGUACCAACAGAAUAAGCACCGGCUAACUUCGUGCCAGCAGCCGCGGUAAUUC
rnacentral:rRNA from 1 species